AGUGAACGCUGGCGGUAGGCCUAACACAUGCAAGUCGAACGGCCGCACAGUAAGAGCUUGCUCUUACGGGUGGCGACUGGCGGGCGGGUGAGGAAUACAUCGCAAUCUACUUUUUCGUGGGUGAGAACGUAGGGAAACUUACGCUAAUACCGCAUACGACCUACGGGUGAAAGCAGGGGAUCUUCGGACCUUACCCGAUCCUAUGAGCCGAUGUCGGAUUAGCUAGUUGGCGGGGUAAAGGCCCACCAAGGCGACGCUCCGUAGCUGGUCUGAGAGGAUGAUCAGCCACACUGGAACUGAGACACGGUCCAGACUCCUACGGGAGGCAGCAGUGGGGAAUAUUGGACAAUGGGCGAAAGCCUGAUCCAGCCAUACCGCGUGGGUGAAGAAGGUCUUCGGGUUGUAAAGCCCUUUUAUUGGGAAAGAAAAGCAGUAAGUUAAUACCCCGCUGUUCUGACGGUACCCAAAGAAUAAGCACCGGCUAACUUCGUG
rnacentral:rRNA from 1 species